GCCAAUUGCUCAGUGGUUAGAGCAUCAGCCUUAGCACUGAAGGGUCGUGGGUUCAAUUCCCAAUUAAAGGCA
rnacentral:tRNA from 1 species